UACAGUAUAUAUAUAUAUAUAUAUAUAUAUAUAUAUAUAUAUAUAUAUAUAUAUACAUGUAAUACAGGCUUAUCUGUAUGUUUUCUUUAUGGGGGAAAAAGUCACCUUUUACAAUACAAUGAGAGUUUCAAUGCUUAUUUGACCAGUGGUUCAAGAAACUGCAUCAGUUGGUGGUUGACCUCAAUAUUGAAGGAAUUAUGUUCAUAAAUAAACUAUCUCCGCUGGGAUGAAAGCACAACAGUUAGGGUUAUGUGAGGGGAUAGUUGGCUGUUUCUGUUCUCAAAUCAAUAUUUUCUGAAUUCAGCUGAAUUUAUCAGGGAUUUCUUACCUGCUGAUGAUAAGAUUUGGCUUGAAAAAAAAACAUUUGAGAAGAAA